rnacentral:rRNA from 1 species
AACGCUAGCUACAGGCUUAACACAUGCAAGUCGAGGGGUAGCACGGAAGAAGCUUGCUUCUUUGGGUGACGACCGGCGCACGGGUGAGUAACGCGUAUCCGACCUACCCAUAACUCGGGCACAGCCGCUCGAAAGAGUGAUUGAUUCCCGAUAUGUCUUUAGAGUAGAUUUAAAGAUGAAAGAUUUAUCGGUUAUGGAUGGGGAUGCGUAAGAUUAGGUAGUAGGCGGGGUAACGGCCCACCUAGCCGACGAUCUUUAGGGGUUCUGAGAGGAAGGUCCCCCACACUGGUACUGAGACACGGACCAGACUCCUACGGGAGGCAGCAGUGAGGAAUAUUGGUCAAUGGGCGGAAGCCUGAACCAGCCAAGUAGCGUGAAGGAUUACAGCCCUACGGGUUUUAAACUUCUUUUAUAUAAGAGUAAUGUGCACUACGUGUAGUGUAUUGCAAGUAUUAUAUGAAUAAGCAUCGGCUAACUCCGUGCCAGCAGCCGCGGUAAUACGGAGGAUGCGAGCGUUAUCCGGAUUUAUUGGGUUUAAAGGGAGCGUAGGCGGGAUAUUAAGUCAGUCGUCAAAGCCUGUAGCUCAACCACAGCCCGCGAUUGAUACUGGUAACCUUGAGUGCGGAUGAGGUGGAUGGAAUUCGUGGUGUAGCGGUGAAAUGCUUAGAUAUCACGAAGAACUCCGAUUG